rnacentral:rRNA from 1 species
GAUGAACGCUAGCGGCAGGCCUAAUACAUGCAAGUCGAACGGGAUCCCGAUCAAAGCUUGCUUUGGUUUGGUGAGAGUGGCGCACGGGUGCGUAACGCGUGAGCAACCUACCCUUGUCAGGGGGAUAGCCCGGCGAAAGUCGGAUUAAUACCGCAUGACAUCAUUGAGAGGCAUCUUUCGAUGAUCAAAGAUUUAUCGGACAAGGAUGGGCUCGCGUGACAUUAGCUAGUUGGUAAGGUAACGGCUUACCAAGGCUACGAUGUCUAGGGGCUCUGAGAGGAGAAUCCCCCACACUGGUACUGAGACACGGACCAGACUCCUACGGGAGGCAGCAGUAAGGAAUAUUGGUCAAUGGACGGAAGUCUGAACCAGCCAUGCCGCGUGCAGGAAGACGGCCCUAUGGGUUGUAAACUGCUUUUAUACGGGAACAAACGUCGGUACGUGUACCGGUCUGAGUGUACCGUAAGAAUAAGGAUCGGCUAACUCCGUGC